rnacentral:rRNA from 1 species
UACGUAGGCAGCGAGCGUUGUUCGGAUUUACUGGGCGUAAAGGGUGUGUAGGCGGUUUUCUAAGUUUGGUGUGAAGUCCCCCGGCUCAACCGGGAGGGUGCGCCGAAAACUGGGAGACUAGAGUGCGGGAUGGGAGAGUAGAAUUCCUGGUGUAGCGGUGAAAUGCGUAGACAUCAGGAGGAAUACCGGUGGCGAAGGCGGUGGUCUGGGCCGGAACUGACGCUGAGGAGCGAAAGCGUGGGGAGCGAACAGG